rnacentral:sRNA from 1 species
GCCAGGUGUGGUGGCGCAUGCUUGUAAUCUGGCAACUCUGGAGGCUGAGGCAGAAGGAUUUCAAGUUCAAGGCCAUCCUCAGCAAUUUAGUGAGGCCCUAAGCAACUUAGCGAGACCCUGCCUCAA